rnacentral:rRNA from 1 species
CGCGUAGGCGGUGGUGUAAGUCAGAUGUGAAAACCAUCGGCUUAACCGAUUGGAUUGCAUUUGAUACUGCAUCACUUGAGUUCAGUAGAGGAGAGUGGAAUUCCCAGUGUAGCGGUGGAAUGCGUAGAUAUUGGGAAGAACACCAGUGGCGAAGGCGGCUCUCUGGACUGAUACUGACGCUGAGGCGCGAAAGCUAGGGGAGCGAACA